UUUAGGCUCAUUUUUUCUCAAAUUGGUUACUUAAUUAUGCUCGAACAAGGGUGGAUUUCGUGUUUUAGAGUAAGUUUCGUGGUUUAGGGGUUGUUUUGGGAGUUUUUCGUGUUGAUCAAUGGGAUGGGUGUUAGUAGUUGUGCUAAUUACCUUAAUUUUGUUAAUAUAUUUUCUCUUUCCUGCUUAAUUUUUCUGCUUUAUGCUUUUAUCAAUAUAAUACGUCAUUCCUAGUUUUCUCCCCAAACAGUAAAUGCCCUGAAAACUAUGGAACUGAGGGAGUAUUAUCUGCUAAUAUGUUGUGGAUUGACUAUGUUUUCCAAUCACUUAAUUCUUGUUCUAGAUAGUUGUGUAAACCUACUAGAGGUAGUUUCAAGAAGAGUGUUAUUCGAUGUUGUAGUACAGCCAUGCUAUAUCAUAUUUAGAGCUAAAGAAAUUAAGCGAAGUGGAACCAGAUUGCUGUCUGCAGCCCUGAUAUUUUAGUUCAGAAUGUUAAACACAAUGUAUAUGCUAGAAUUAGCUCUGUAAUGCCUAAAAAUCCAGUUGCAGAGAUAAGGACUGGUUCAAUUGUACUCUGGCUUAGCUGAUUGUAUGUGAGUCUAUUGUCUCUUGGUCUUUGUUGUUGUUUUGCGGGUGUUUCUACAAGUGAUUAGGGCUUUGAUGGUACCCUUUCUACAAGGUGAAUAUAUGUUGCUCAAUGAUGCAUUUGCAACUCUAUGGUUUUGUACAAGAUUGAAUUGCGUUCAAGUUGAAGUUUUAUGUUGAAGAUUCACUGAAGGUUGAAUGUCGGUUGAAGAUGGAAUUUCUACAUAUUUUUUAUUUUUUUAUUUCCUCUUCUAAAAGUUUGUAUCAAUUCGUCAAAAUUGUUAGUAAUAAGAUUAUAUUUCUAGUUUCCUUUAUUAAUUUAUAAUGUUAUUUUUUCUUGUUGACGUAAGAAUGUGCUUGUAACUGUUACUAUACUAAUAACACAGUGUUGGCGCUUACAAGUGUCUAUAUAGUAGCUUCAAAUUGCGGCA